UACAGAGGUGGCAAGCGUUGUUCGGAAUUACUGGGCGUAAAGGGCGCGUAGGCGGUCUUGUCAGUCCCUUGUGAAAUCCCCCCGGCUCAACUGGGGAACUGCACGGGAAACAGCAGGGCUUGAGUUCGGGAGAGGGAAGCGGAAUUCCUGGUGUAGCGGUGAAAUGCGUAGAUAUCAGGAGGAACACCGGUGGCGAAGGCGGCUACCUGGACAGAAACUGACGCUGAGGCGCGAAAGCUAGGGGAGCAAACAGG
rnacentral:rRNA from 1 species